rnacentral:rRNA from 1 species
GCGAAGUCUGGGCGCCGCGCGCUACACUGAUCAGUCAACGAGUUUACAACCUUGGCCGGAAGGUCUGGGUAAUCUUUUGAAACUUGAUCGUGCUGGGGAUAGUCCAUUGCAAUUAUUGGACUUCAACGAGGAAUUCCUAGUAAGCGUGAGUCAUCAGCUCGCGUUGAUUACGUCCCUGCCCUUUGUACACACCGCCCGUCGCUACUACCGAUUGAAUGGCUUAGUGAGGCUUUCGGAUUGGAUCUGAGCAGCUGGCAACAGCAGCUUGGAACUGAAAAGUUAUCCAAACUUGGUCAUUUAGAGGAAGUAAAAGUCGUAACAAGGUUUCCGUAGGUGACCCCUGCGGAAAC